rnacentral:rRNA from 1 species
CAGAGGGUGCGAACGUUGCUCGGAAUUACUGGGCGUAAAGCGCGUGUAGGCGGGUCGGCAAGUCAGGCGUGAAAUCCCCAGGCUCAACCUGGGAACUGCGCUUGAAACUGCCGGUCUUGAGUAUCGGAGAGGGUGGCGGAAUUCCUGGUGUAGAGGUGAAAUUCGUAGAUAUCAGGAGGAACACCGGUGGCGAAGGCGGCCACCUGGACGAUUACUGACGCUGAGACGCGAAAGCGUGGGGAGCAAACAGGAUUAGAUACCCUGGUAGUCCACGCCGUAAACGAUGGGUGCUAGGUGUCUCGGGUAUUGACCCCUGAGGUGCCGCAGCUAACGCGUUAAGCACCCCGCCUGGGAAGUACGGCCGCAAGGCUA